UNUGACUUGAGUGCAGAAGGGGAGAGUGGAAUUCCAUGUGUAGCGGUGAAAUGCGUAGAUAUAUGGAGGAACACCAGUGGCGAAAGCGGCUCUCUGGUCUGUCACUGACGCUGAGGCUCGAAAGCGUGGGUAGCGAACAGGAUUAGAUACCCUGGUUGUCCACGCCGUAAACGGUGAGUGCUAGGUGUUAGGCCCUUUCCGGGGCUUAGCGCCGGAGCUAACGCAAUAAGCACUCCGCCUGGGGAGUACGACCGCAAGGUUGAAACUCAAAGGAAUUGACGGGGGCCCGCACAAGCGGUGGAGCAUGUGGUUUAAUUCGAAGCAACGCGAAGAACCUUACCAGGUCUUGACAUCCCGAUGCUAUUCUUAGAGAUAGGAAGUUACUUCGGUACAUCGGAGACAGGUGGUGCAUGGUUGUCGUCAACUCGUGUCGUGAGAUGUUGGGUUAAGUCCCGCAACGAGCGCAACCCUUAUUGUUAGUUGCCAUCAUUAAGUUGGGCACACUAGCGAGACUGCCGGUAAUAAACCGGAGGAAGGUGGGGAUGACGUCAAAUCAUCAUGCCCCUUAUGACCUGGGCUACACACGUGCUACAAUGGUCGGUACAACGAGUUGCGAGCCGGUGACGGCAAGCUAAUCUCUGAAAGCCGAUCUCAGUUCGGAUUGGAGGCUGCAACUCGCCUCCAUGAAGUCGGAAUCGCUAGUAAUCGCGGAUCAGCACGCCGCGGUGAAUACGUUCCCGGGCCUUGUACACACCGCCC
rnacentral:rRNA from 1 species